UGAGUAACUACAUAAUGAGGUUAAAAUAUUCAUUAAGCUAAUUGCAUGUUAAUUAAGUAAAGGAUGCUAUUAGGGAUCCAUUGAGCUCCAUCUGUGUGUGCAAACGGGAGUGAGAAUAAUCACACCAGAAAACAGAAGAGACAGUGACAGCUCCGGAGCCCCCAGCACACAGGAACCACAAGGGUCAGGGGCAGCUCCAUGUGCUGGGGGAGCUGGCAGCCAUGAAGGGGAGAAUGGUCUCAUGAGCAGAGGGGGAGCUGGUAAGGAGAAGCUAUGAGAGCUGUUACAAGCCAUCACUUAUGAAUGGGCAUUUCCCCACGUUCUGCCUCCAUUUACAGGCCACUAAUGGGCAGAUCAUUCUUUUCACAAAUGCACUUACAGUCUGAAGUUACUGGAAUAAAUCUGGUCCAUGGUUCCCCUUCAGUGGCCUUUCUCUUGCAAGUAGUCACUGUGCUAAAUGGAAGUAAUUUUGGGUGGGGAUACCGGCUCCCAGAGGGUUUCUGAUCUCAGACCAGCUCCUCCAAUACCUUCUAUACCUUCUCCAAUGAAUGUAACCUUUCUCAUUUUCCUGCAGUAACUGCUUAGAAUUUCCACUUUCACAGGUAGACCUGCCAGCUCACCUGGCUCAUCCUGCGUGGGUAGAAACUGGGGGAGCGAAUGUGGAUGAACCAGAUUCAUUAGCAAUUUCAGACCAUUAUUCAUGAAAAAUUAGUUUAUUGUGCUAGCCUGUCCCCAGUGAUGCUGGCAUUGAUCCAAAGCACCCUUGUGAUGAGUGGGAAGGAGAAGAACUACCUAAUUCAUUCAUAACUCUGCAUUAAAACCUGACAGAUGAAGCUUUAUCCAGGGGCUGAUUAUUGUCAUGUGCAAAACAAAAAAUCCCUGUAGAACCUGAUAAGCAUACAACCGUAUGUGUUCUUCUCCACAGUCCCAGAGCCUCCCAGACACACUCUGACUCACAACAGAUGCCCAGGAGAACUGGCACAGCCCUUUCCACAGGCUCCUAGAUAAAACCAGCUGCAGAAGUUAACCAGAUUUCUCUGAGCCA
rnacentral:lncRNA from 1 species